AUGAAUUUUUUUUUGAAAUCGGGUCUCAGCUCGACUUGACCUGCUCAUGGAUAGCUUUACCUGUGAGUCCAAACCCUCACAUGCCAAAGACCUUACAACCCCAUACCAUCAAAAUCACACACUUGACAUGGAUAAGGUAUUUGUCACUCGUACGCAAUGAUAUCCAUUCAUUUGAUAUGAUAGCACAUACCUACAUUAACAACGUAUCAGUAGAUAAGCUAAAUAUUAGAGUUCGAAACUAAUACCAUAUGGAUGACACGUGACACAUCGAGAAAUGAUUAGAGACAAAUCCUUAAUUGCCUAUCGGCAUUAGGAUAGAAGGCCAAGACAUUCUCUCUCCUCUCUUCCAUCCUCUUUUUCUCUAAGUACCCAUAUUCCCAUCAUUCUAAUUUUCGUACGACUCUCCACUCUUUCAAUGAACCGUCACAAAACACCGCAACCUCAUCUUCACAUCAACAAUAACAUAUAAUUGUUAAACCCCAAUAAAUAAAUACGUUAGACCGUUAGUAGCAAAGUAUAUAUAUACAAAAAUAAAAAAGAGGAACAGUGGGUGGCCUGGCCUGCAUGCGAAGGCUGGAAGAGGGGCAUCAAUGAAUGAAACAACGUGCUUUUCUGUGUCUAUAGAUUCCAUAAUCCUCCAAUCUCUCUCUCUCUACCUGCAACAUUUGUC
rnacentral:lncRNA from 1 species